GUGUCAGCCGCCGCGGUAAUACGUAGGGGGCCAGCGUUGUCCGGAAUCAUUGGGCGUAAAGAGCGUGUAGGCGGCCAUGUAGGUCCGAUGUGAAAACUCGAGGCUCAACCUCGAGCUGUCAUUGGAAACCAUGUGGCUAGAGUCCGGAAGAGGAGAGUGGAAUUCCUGGUGUAGCGGUGAAAUGCGCAGAUAUCAGGAAGAACACCUAUGGCGAAGGCAGCUCUCUGGGACGGUACUGACGCUGAGACGCGAAAGCGUGGGGAGCGAACAGGAUUAGAUACCCCCGUAGUCC
rnacentral:rRNA from 1 species